rnacentral:lncRNA from 1 species
GGCAUGUUUUUCCUAUAGCUCUGAACGUGAAAUGUGAAAUGUGUCCAUUACAAAAUACCUUGUAUCUGAUUUCAGGGAGAAGAAAGAAAUAACUUCAGAGAUCAUGAGGGCAUGGAAAGCUUAAUGCCAUCCAUCAGGACCCAACUGUGCAAUCCCUACUCAUGUUGAUGAGUGUGGUUAGUCUUUCAACUGUGCCAUGAAGAUAUAUUUGCAGAGACAGGAUCGAACCACAAAUAUCUGAGAGAGUGAAGUCAAUGGAGUUACACCAGCAGUGAAUUUACUUCAGACUCCACUAGACUGGGGAUGCAAUACCAUUUGUUGCUUCUUGUGUAACCCACGGGCUGAUAGCCAGGUUAUACCUGUGUUGAUCAGAUUUGCUGCCCCUUCACUCAUAACCUCGGUGUGCUCUAUGGAUCUCAUGAAAUACUGCCAAAGCAGGCCUUCCAAUGGGGAUGAAGGACAAAGCUCUACACAGCUCAACAGGCAAAUAACACCAAUGGAUUGUUCUAUUCUGAAGGAUUUUCGGUAUGUGGGUGAGUUUUUAUUCCCCUCCAUCCCUCUACUCACA